rnacentral:rRNA from 1 species
CUUUAUCGGAGAGUUUGAUCCUGGCUCAGGACGAACGCUGGCGGUGUGCCUAAUACAUGCAAGUCGAGCGCGUGAAACCAGUUGAGUCCCUUCGGGGAUGACGCUGGUGGAUCGAGCGGCGGACGGGUGAGUAACACGUGGGCAACCUGCCCUGCAGAUCGGGAUAACCCCGGGAAACCGGGGCUAAUA